GACGAACGCUGGCGGCGUGCUUAACACAUGCAAGUCGAACGGAAAGGCCCUGCUUUUGUGGGGUGCUCGAGUGGCGAACGGGUGAGUAACACGUGAGUAACCUGCCCUUGACUUUGGGAUAACUUCAGGAAACUGGGGCUAAUACCGGAUAGGAGCUCCUGCUGCAUGGUGGGGGUUGGAAAGUUUCGGCGGUUGGGGAUGGACUCGCGGCUUAUCAGCUUGUUGGUGGGGUAGUGGCUUACCAAGGCUUUGACGGGUAGCCGGCCUGAGAGGGUGACCGGCCACAUGGCGACUGAGAUAGGGACCAGAAUCCUACGGGAGGCAGUAGGGGGGAAUAUGGCACAAUGGGCGGAAGCCUGAUGCAGCAACGCCGCGUGCGGGAUGACGGCCUUCGGGUUGUAAACCGCUUUGGCCUGUGACGAAGCGUGAGUGACGGUAAUGGGUAAAGAAGCACCGGCUAACUACGUG
rnacentral:rRNA from 1 species